AUUUCAUCCUGUAUACACUUUAUUAUUGCACACUUUUAUUUUGAAACCAAAGUCUCCAAAUAAUCUUCUGUUUUAUUGUGACUAACUGUGGGGAAAUUAAUGUAGCCUUCAAUUCAAUAAUUAAAUAAAAAAAUAAAAAUUGUUAUGCUAUGUUUGGAAAAAAAGGAAUACAAAUAAUUUUCCAAAAAAACUAUAGGAAGAUUGUUACUUAUUAAUAUGAAAUUUUCCAAAAAAUAAUAAAUAAUUGUAUGAUAUACAGCAUGUUAUUAUAUAUAUAUCUUAUGAUGCCAUCAUGCUACUCCCGUUGGUAAGCGCUUCCCCCCUUGGUUACUGUUGCUAGGGCUGUUGCUAGGUUUCUCAUAGCGGGAAAAGUUUCACCUUCUAAAGCCUUUAAAAGUGAACCACCUUCACCUGGAGAGCAACACCGUUCCUGUAAAGCCAGGCAGGACUCCAGGGGUGAGAAGGAAGCAGACGACUAGUGGACGUCAUAGUAGAAGUGGAAGUGACGCACUGCAGCUCUAAAGAUCAGAAAUUGGCUCUAUCGGCUGUGUUUUGCUUGGAGGGACUCCCAGAACGAGAGUGAUUGACACCCGAUCAGCUUCAGAGAGUUCCCCGUGUAAUUUCAUGAUUGAUGACCAGAAGCGUAAAUUGGAGUUGACUCUGGGGGUAAUUACACCAGAGAAAAUGAGAAGUCCUCGGCCACUUGAGGAACCACUUCAUAACAAGGGGAACUGGUACUGCACAGAUACCAGCUGUUGCUCCAACACUGCUGGGUCAACACAUCUUCAUUGUAACUAGACAGAAGGAGAGGACUCAUCCAUCGUUCAGCACUGAACAAAGUUUGCCUGCGGUGUUUUACAGCCUCAUCUCGCUAUACAUUCUGGCUGCAGAUAGCGUGGCUCUGAGGUCCGGAGCCCUCCCUCCUCACUUGAAACAGCUGAUUUAUGUCUGGUCCUGGACACUUGUGCUCUGUGGCUGGAAUGCAGGGAAUUUCUGAGCCCCCUCCUCUGCCUGUCCCGUCCACACGCAAACAAACGGAGCAGGCGCCUGGUUGGGCAGAUGAAGGCCCACCGGUGCUCCCACUGCAGGGCAGGGACGCAGAAUGUGAGGAAUGUCAAAGGCGAGAAAAUAAAUCCAUU